rnacentral:rRNA from 1 species
UACGAAGGGAGCUAGCGUUGUUCGGAAUCACUGGGCGUAAAGCGCACGUAGGCGGAUGUGUCAGUCAGGGGUGAAAUCCCGGAGCUCAACUCCGGAACUGCCUCUGAUACAGCACGUCUUGAGUUCGAGAGAGGUGGGUGGAAUUCCUAGUGUAGAGGUGAAAUUCGUAGAUAUUAGGAAGAACACCGGUGGCGAAGGCGGCCCACUGGCUCGAUACUGACGCUGAGGUGCGAAAGCGUGGGGAGCAAACAGG